rnacentral:rRNA from 1 species
GGGCCCGCACAAGUAGUGGAGCAUGUGGUUUAAUUCGAAGAUACGCGCAGAACCUUACCAACACUUGACAUGUUCGUCGCGACUUUAAGAGAUUAAAGUUUUCGGUUCGGCCGGACGAAACACAGGUGCUGCAUGGCUGUCGUCAGCUCGUGUCGUGAGAUGUUGGGUUAAGUCCCGCAACGAGCGCAACCCUCACUUUUAGUUGCCAUCAUUAAGUUGGGCACUCUGAAAGAACUGCCAGUGAUAAGCUGGAGGAAGGUGGGGAUGACGUCAAGUCCUCAUGGCCCUUACGUGUUGGGCUACACACGUGCUACAAUGGUAUCUACAACAGGAAGCAAAGAGGCGACUCUUAGCCAAUCCCUAAAAUGUACCUCAGUUCGGAUUGUACUCUGUAACUCGAGUGCAUGAAGCUGGAAUUGCUAGUAAUCG